AACAAAUCGUGGCACAUGAAUACAAUGGAAUAUUAUUGUGCUGUAAGAAUAUGAUAUACAGAGAAGUAUGGAAAAACAUACAUACACUGAUGUAAAGAGGAAUACAAAGGCAUAUAUUUCUUAGACAAUUUGAGAUGGGAAAUCAACAUGUGUCCUUAAAACAAUGUCAAAUAAAUGAUGAAAUUCAGAAUAAACUGUAACUCUGAAUCAUGCCCAAGUUAUCCUUAAACAUUUGAAGUUAUGUCACUGGGAAAAAGGAUUGGAUGUGUUUCGCUUGAUCCUUCAAGAGAGAUCUAGAAGCAAUAGGUACAAGGUGCAAAGAGGCAAAUUCAAGUUUGAUGUCAAGAAAAGAUUCUUAAUAAUUGAAGCUCUCCAAAAGGGGAAUGUGCUGCCUCAGAAGGAAGUGGGAAUUCCCUCACCGAGAGUCUUCAACCAAAAGAUGGAUCACCACUUGUCAGUUUUGGACUAUAUUUUUUAAUCUGAGAAUUGGACAUUCUACAGAGAUAUCAAUUUGUUUCGUGAGAGAAUAAGAAGAAAUGUUGAUUCUGAACAUUAAACAGAAACUGAGUUUAACAAAGAGAAAAGGUUUGGGGACCGAGGAGACCUACCUAUUUGCCUGGAUUAGAUGCUUUUUAUUUUUCCUUACUCAGCUUCAGGACUUUCUAUAACAAUAUUUAUAGAUUGUGAGAUUGUAGAAUAGUAGAGUUGAUGGGGACCUUAGAGUUCAUCUAGCGUCAUCUCACUUUGCUAAUGAGGAAACUAAGGUUUCAAGAGGAUGUGACUACCCUAAGGUCACACAGUACCAUAUCUGGAUACAUUUAUAUUCUCAAUAACAUUUUUUUCUGAAGUAAAAAUACGGCAACACAACUUGACAGAGGAUAUUUGUUUUAUAAAGUGUCAUGAUAAGUAAAUUUUAUUUUCUUCAAAUCAGGCCUGUGUCAGGCUGGUUAUUUAUUAUGAAGAAAAUAUCACCCCUCAUAUUGUUAUCUAAGAACGUCCAUCUACUACCAGAGAAAAAGGAUCGAUGUGGAUUAACCAUACAUAUAUAUUCUUAAGGCAAGCACUGUUCCAUGCCACACAAGUUACUAUGCAGUCUUACAUACUGUGUUUGAACCAGGGCACAUCAAUGAAAAUUCUAUCAAGGUGUGCAGUAGAGGUUUUUCAAAGUGCUAAUAAUGAAGAUUAAACUUAAAAGAUUGUGUGCAUCUGUCGGUGGAGCCGUGAACUGAUCCAACCAUUCUGGAAUGUAAUUUGGAGCUACGGCCAAAGGGCUAUAAAAUUGUGCAUAUCCUUUGA